rnacentral:misc_RNA from 1 species
AAAAAUGGAAGAGGAGGAAUUAAUGAAUGGAUCAGUUAACGGUGACCUUUCCGACCAUUCCAGCUCCUUGAUGGGGCGAACAGUAGAAAGAGUAGCUUCCUUUUUCAGUUAGCUGGACUUCGUACACCUGGCCGGGAGCAUUCAGAAGAUCUUCCUCACUCAUCGAGAUCUUUCCCGCGUCCACUCCGCUCGGGAUUUCGUCCUCAUCGAACACCACGUUGUGUGGGAAUCCCGCGUUGUUCUUGAACACGAUUUUCUCACCCGACGCCACCGAGAAAUCGUUCGGAACGAACGCCAGAGAUCCGUCGUUGCCGCCCAGCAAGAUCUCGAUGGCCAUGGCGUUUGAGGCCAGCAGGGCGGUGGCGGCGGUGGCUGCCACGGCCACGCCCACGUCCUUCAGAGAUGCUCUCAUGCUCAGCUUUGGGGUUGCAGGGGAGGAGACGCGGACGGCCGCGGUGGGUUUUGAUGUGGCGCCGGCGGACUUGAGGCCGGUGAAGGAGGGGAUGGCAACGGCGGCGGAGGUGACGGCGGCCAUGGGUGUAGUGUUAUGUAGUGUAAAG